rnacentral:tRNA from 1 species
GCCGCGAUAGCUCAGCUUAUAGAGCAUCUGCACUAUAUGCGGAGGGUUGCCGGUUCGAUUUCGACUCGCGACG